rnacentral:rRNA from 1 species
UCUGCCUUGUAGUGGGGGAUAACUUGCCGAAAGGUAAGCUAAUACCGCAUACGCCCUAAGGGGGAAAGCAGGGGACUCUUCGGAGCCUUGCGCUAUUAGAUGAGCCUAGGUCGGAUUAGUUAGUUGGUGGGGUAAUGGCUCACCAAGACCGCGAUCCGUAACUGGUCUGAGAGGAUGAUCAGUCACACUGGAACUGAGACACGGUCCAGACUCCUACGGGAGGCAGCAGUGGGGAAUAUUGGACAAUGGGGGAAACCCUGAUCCAGCCAUGCCGCGUGUGUGAAGAAGGCCUUCGGGUUGUAAAGCACUUUAAUUUGGGAGGAAGGGCUUACGGUUAAUAACCGCUAAGUUUUGACGUUACCAAAAGAAUAAGCACCGGCUAACUUCGUGCCAGCAGCCGCGGUAAUACGAAGGGUGCGAGCGUUAAUCGGAAUUACUGGGCGUAAAGCGCGCGUAGGUGGUUCAUUAAGUUAGGAGUGAAAGCCCCGGGCUCAACCUGGGAAUUGCUUCUAAAACUGGUGAGCUAGAGUACAGUAAAGGGUGGUGGAAUUUCCUGUGUAACGGUGAAAUGCGUAGAUAUAGGAAGGAACAUCAGUGGCGAAGGCGACCACCUGGACUGAUACUGACACUGAGGUGCGAAAGCGUGGGGAGCAAACAGGAUUAAAUACCCUGGUAGUCCACGCCGUAAACGAUGUCAACUA